rnacentral:piRNA from 1 species
UGCAUAUGGAAUUCCCUGACUCUCCUCUUU